GGAGGAGGGUCUUCGAAUAGCGGCUUUGACACCAUUUUGUUGGGCAAGAUUAUCAGGGUGGAUGUAAGUGUGGAGGCCUUGAAGGAAUAAAAUGGGAAUCUUGAGGAAAAUGAGGAGGAGAGUAAGGGAAAUAGAGAGUGAGAUUUGGCUGAUUAGAUUCUUGUAAGUAUGAAGGAAUUGCAACAUGGUUGAAGUCGUUGAAGCUUUGGUCGUCAAUGAUGAAGGGUUUUUGCCUUUGGACGACUCUGGUCUCUGGGCUUUGUUACGGGAGAUUGGAUCCUCACUUCCCACGCCCAACGCCGAUGCUUGCU
rnacentral:misc_RNA from 1 species